rnacentral:rRNA from 1 species
UACGUAGGGUGCAAGCGUUGUCCGGAAUUAUUGGGCGUAAAGAGCUCGUAGGCGGUUCGUCGCGUCGGCUGUGAAAAACCCCGGAGCUCAACUCCGGGCCUGCAGUCGAUACGGGCGGACUCGAGUUCGGCAGGGGAGACUGGAAUUCCUGGUGUAGCGGUGAAAUGCGCAGAUAUCAGGAGGAACACCGGUGGCGAAGGCGGGGU